rnacentral:rRNA from 1 species
GACGAACCGUGCGAACGUUGUUCGGAAUCACUGGGCUUAAAGGGCGCGUAGGCGGGUUUGCAAGUCUGCGGUGAAAGCCCCCAGCUUAACUGGGGAAGUGCCGUGGAUACUGCGAAUCUCGAGGAGGGUAGGGGCAUCUGGAACAUUGGGUGGAGCGGUGAAAUGCGUUGAUAUCCAAUGGAACUCCGGUGGCGAAGGCGAGGUGCUGGACCCUUUCUGACGCUGAGGCGCGAAAGCCAGGGGAGCGAACGGG